AUAGCACUUAAACUAUUGAGAAUGGAGGAUCCCAGGACAACAUUUAAAAUGACAGCUAAUGUCUGUGGAAACCCUGGGCGUUUAGGAGUGGCCUAAAGCUAGAGUUCUCUUUGAUUACGGGCACCACUUUCAGAUAAAAACAUAGACCUGAAUGGCAUCAUCCAGUAUCCAAGGAAACCAUUUCUUACAGUACCCUGGAACAUAAUUCACCAUGGCCAGGAUGAAUCUGCUGUACACAGGAGUGAUCCUUCUAACCUGCCAUGUCCAUAGUUAUGUGAGAAUCUAGGAUGGAGCUGAAAGAACUGUAUCUUCCUGGAUCAUACCCAAAAGGUCUCUAAGUGCACUGAUGACAGGAAAAUCUUCAGUGGUUCCAGAGACAAGCUGCUGGAAAUCCUGCACAUUUAUUUUCUAGAAGGAAAUGAGCUGAUGAGGAAUAAUCCCUUCAGAGAUCCUCCCUUUAAAAAACCUUAAAGGACUCCAAAUUAAAGCAUAGCCAUUUCUGGGACCCUAAAGUGACUCAAAAAAAGGAAACAUCACUUACUUAAUGUUAGGUGAAUUUCAAAAGCCUUAAUAAGGGGAGAGCAAAGGUAGGGAGAAAGAUGGUGAAUAAAUUGUGAGAACCUACCAAGUAAAGAAAUAUCUUUUAAAUUCCACGCAUCAUGUUUUAUUUCACUUUGUAUUUCAAUUAAAAAAGGAAAAAUAUGCAUUUUAAAAAGAUAUAUUUUUUGCUAUUAAUAUUAGCACUUAAUGUCUGAGUACAGAUCCAUCAUUCAUUAGGUCUACAGUAGCCCACAGCCCUAAUUUACAAAUUCAUAAUCACAAGUCAGAUCAACUCAAUUGCUCAAGGCUGUGUAUUUGCAAGUUAGAGUAUACACUGCAAAUUUCCUGUCUUUGGGCCGGUAUACUGAGCAAUGGUACUUUUUAAAAAGAAUUUGCUCAUAUCUUAGAUUUAACAGAGUUGAAAAUGUUUAACCAAUAUCACUCAUGUAAUAUAAAGUGUAAAUUUAAGCAGUGUUCUAGAAAAUUCAAGGCAAAGUAGUUUAAACCAUUUGGCUCUUCCUAGAGGUUCUGAUUUUUUUUUUUUAACCUGAAAAAGUAGGUAAUUACUCGAUAGCCUUAGCUCUAAAAUAUAUCUGACAGGUUAUUUUUAUUUGUUUGGUUUUCAGAAAUCAUAUCCAUGUUUUCUACUCUCUGUAGUCUUAGCAAAAUGAAUCAAAGCCACUCUGUAUCCAAAGGUAACACUAUGGUUGUCUUUUUUUUUUUUUUUUUUUUUUUUUUUAACAUUGCAGGCUUUACCUCAAGUGCUAUGCAGUAAAUUUACAGGGAAAGAAAUAUUUUAUUAAAUUAUAACUGAGAGGAGCGGAUUUUUUUUUAUAUAGCAAACAAAAAAUUCCUUCAUGAAAGGUUAUAAAACCGAUAUUAUUUACCAGAGAGACCUUUCCUGUCUCCCAGGUAAACACUUACAGUGUGUAGACUUGUGUAAAUACAUAUUUAGGAGUGGCUAAAUAUGGCGAGGUAUUUUUAAAGCCAUAUUUACAAAGCUGAAUACAUAUAUUGGCAUUUUGGAAUGUGUAAGCUGGGCAUGCUGCUCUGCUGUCUAUUCAGAAUUCUAGCAGGACGCUGCUAGAUACACCUCAGAUAUGGGGACCGAAUUUCAAAACAUUCAUCUUUAAUCAGAAUUACUAAAGACAGGUCCUUAAAUCAUUUCAAAAGGGUGAAAAUUUUCAAUUAAUGGAGUUCAAGACUUUCUCACCAGUUUGACUUGAGGAAAAUUGUUUCAGAAAUGCAGGCGUCAUUCAUGGAAAUAAAAUUUCUUUUCUG
rnacentral:lncRNA from 1 species